ACCGGCGGCUCGAGUGGUGGCCACUAUUACUGGGCUUAAAGCGUUCGUAGCUGGCUUGUUAAGUCUCUGGGGAAAUCUUCCGGCUCAACCGGAAGGCGUCUCUGGGAUACUGGCAGGCUAGGGACCGGAAGAGGUGAGAGGUACUCCAGGGGUAGGAGUGAAACCUUGUAACCCUUGGGGGACAACCGGGGGCGAGGGCGUCUCCCCAGGACGGCUCCGAAAGGGAGGACCGAAAGCUGGGGAGCAAACCG
rnacentral:rRNA from 1 species